GCUUAGAUAUCACGAAGAAUUCCGAUUGCGAAGGCAGCCUGCUAAGCUGCAACUGACAUUGAGGCUCGAAAGUGUGAGUAUCAAACAGGAUUAGAUACCCUGGUAGUCCACACGGUAAACGAUGAAUACUCGCUGUUUGCGAUAUACGGCAAGCGGCCAAGCGAAAGCGUUAAGUAUUCCACCUGGGGAGUACGCCGGCAACGGUGAAACUCAAAGGAAUUGACGGGGGCCCGCACAAGCGGAGGAACAUGUGGUUUAAUUCGAUGAUACGCGAGGAACCUUACCCGGGCUUAAAUUGCACUCGAAUGAUCCGGAAACGGUUCAGCUAGCAAUAGCGAGUGUGAAGGUGCUGCAUGGUUGUCGUCAGCUCGUGCCGUGAGGUGUCGGCUUAAGUGCCAUAACGAGCGCAACCCUUGUUGUCAGUUACUAACAGGUGAUGCUGAGGACUCUGACAAGACUGCCAUCGUAAGAUGUGAGGAAGGUGGGGAUGACGUCAAAUCAGCACGGCCCUUACGUCCGGGGCUACACACGUGUUACAAUGGGGGGUACAGAGGGCCGCUACCACGCGAGUGGAUGCCAAUCCCUAAAACCCCUCUCAGUUCGGACUGGAGUCUGCAACCCGACUCCACGAAGCUGGAUUCGCUAGUAAUCGCGCAUCAGCCACGGCGCGGUGAAUACGUUCCCGGGCCUUGUACACACCGCCCGUCAAGCCAUGGGAGCCGGGGGUACCUGAAGUGCGUAACCGCGAGGAUCGUCCUAGGGUAAAACUGGUGAC
rnacentral:rRNA from 1 species